GACGAACCGUGCGAACGUUAUUCGGAAUCACUGGGCUUAAAGCGCGUGUAGGCGGAUGGGAACGUCGGUAGUUGAAAGCCCCCGGCUCAACCGGGGAAGUGGUGCCGAAACGACCCGUCUGGAGGGACGUAGGGGGACCUGGAACUUCCGGUGGAGCGGUGAAAUGCGUUGAGAUCGGAAGGAACGCCCGUGGCGAAGGCGGCAUCCUGGACCGGCAUUGACGCUGAGGCGCGAAAGCCAGGGGAGCAAACGGG
rnacentral:rRNA from 1 species